rnacentral:rRNA from 1 species
UGGGGAAUAUUGGACAAUGGGCGCAAGCCUGAUCCAGCCAUGCCGCGUGAGUGAUGAAGGCCCUAGGGUUGUAAAGCUCUUUCACCGGUGAAGAUAAUGACGGUAACCGGAGAAGAAGCCCCGGCUAACUUCGUGCCAGCAGCCGCGGUAAUACGAAGGGGGCUAGCGUUGUUCGGAAUUACUGGGCGUAAAGCGCACGUAGGCGGAUCGAUCAGUUAGGGGUGAAAUCCCGGGGCUCAACCCCGGAACUGCCUCUAAUACUGUCGAUCUUGAGUUCGAGAGAGGUGAGUGGAAUUCCGAGUGUAGAGGUGAAAUUCGUAGAUAUUCGGAGGAACACCAGUGGCGAAGGCGGCUCACUGGCUCGAUACUGACGCUGAGGUGCGAAAGCGUGGGGAGCAAACA